rnacentral:misc_RNA from 1 species
AAAAAAAAAAAAAAAAAAAAAAAAAAAAAUUAGAAAAAAAAAAAAAAAAAAAAAAAAAAAAAAAAAAAAAAAAAAAAAAAAAAAAAAAGAAAAAAAAAAAAAAAAACAAAAAAAAAUCGAAAUAAAAAAAAAAAAAAAAAAAAAAAAAAAAAAAAAAAAAAAAAAAAAAAAAAAAAAAAAAAAAAAAAAAAAAAAAAAAUAGGAAAAAAAAAAAAAAAAAAUUAAAAAAAAAAAAAAAAAAAAAAAAA